GAGCCGUUAGCUCAGCAGGCAGAGCAUCUCCCUUUUAAGGAGAGGGUCGUUGGUUCGAAUCCAACACGGCUCACCA
rnacentral:tRNA from 1 species